UGGGCGUGUACACAUGAGUCUGACUGCCCUCAGCAACUGCACCCACCAGUGUGUACUGUUGCCUUCAGACUUUCUGCCUAUACUCUUUGUUUUUUGUUGGUUUGGUUUCUCUGUGUAGCUCUGGCUGUCCUGGAAUUGACUCUGUGACCAGACUGGCCUUGAACUCAAGAGACUCGCCUCUCGAACCCUGGGACUAAAGGAGUGCACCACCACCACCGCCUGGCUACCUAGACUCUGUCUACAGUCUGGAGGAAGUUAAACAUUUGUUUGGAAAAAAAAAUGCUCAAGGUGUUUUAAAAUCUCCAGCCUAGUUACAGGCUCACGUACCAUCCCAGACUGCAGGCCCUACACAGGAUGUUGUGACUCUUCUGAUGCUGCCGUGGGUAACUGUUGUGAUUGAAGGCUUUUCCAUAUUUGUUCCACUUAAAGCGUUUCUCAGUAUGCCUUGAGUUCGGACCUAAAACCUUCCCGCCUGUAUUUUCUCUGGUGUGAACGCUCAGGUGGCAAGUCAGAGCUGACUCACAGACGAAGAGCUCGCCACGCGGCGCGCGCUCAUACAGGCACUCGCUGGUGUCGGCUGUGGCUGAAGGUCUCCUUGCUCGCAGCACAGGCAAAGCGCCUGUUUGCGGCAUGGCUCCGCUGAUGCCGAACAGAUGUUAGGACGGCUGACACGUCUGGACACUGGUAGCCCCUGUAACCUGAGGGGUUCGCUGAUGCUCAUUAAGGUGCGUGCUCAGACAGAAGGUUUUCCCGCAUUUGUAAGGCAGUCUCUCCACUGUGAACCCUCUGGAGGAUCUUCAGGGUGGAGGAGUGGUUGGAAGCUUUGCCACAUUCGCUACACUUGUAUGGCUUCACUCCUGUACGAACAGUCUGCUGCUCAAUGGAUGAUGACCUCUGAUUAAAGUCUUUUUGCAUUCUUUUUUUAA